CCUACGAGUCGCUGCAGUGGGGAAUAUUGGACAAUGGGCGAAAGCCUGAUCCAGCCAUGCCGCGUGUGUGAAGAAGGCCUUCGGGUUGUAAAGCACUUUCAGUGGGGAAGAAAGCCUUGGGGCUAAUACCCUCGAGGAAGGACAUCACCCACAGAAGAAGCACCGGCUAACUCCGUGCCAGCAGCCGCGGUAAUACGGAGGGUGCGAGCGUUAAUCGGAAUUACUGGGCGUAAAGCGCGCGUAGGCGGUCUGAUAAGCCGGUUGUGAAAGCCCCGGGCUCAACCUGGGAACGGCAUCCGGAACUGUCAGGCUAGAGUGCAGGAGAGGAAGGUAGAAUUCCCGGUGUAGCGGUGAAAUGCGUAGAGAUCGGGAGGAAUACCAGUGGCGAAGGCGGCCUUCUGGACUGACACUGACGCUGAGGUGCGAAAGCGUGGGUAGCAAACAGGAUUAGAUACCCCGUAGUC
rnacentral:rRNA from 1 species